UAAACGUGAGGAAUAUUACAAACAUCGAGAGGAAGAUACGUAAACUGAUGUCAGACGUUGAACACAAGAAAGACGAAAUAGCAGAGUUGGAGAGAAACAUUAUACCUGGACUAAAGAAACAGAUUGAAGAAACUCAAAUACGGCUGAAAAUAC